rnacentral:rRNA from 1 species
GGAGGGGGCAAGCGUUGUUCGGAAUCAUUGGGCGUAAAGGGCGUGUAGGCGGUCGAUCAAGUCGGAGGUGAAAUCCCUCGGCUCAACUGAGGAAUUGCCUUCGAUACUGUUCGGCUUGAGUCCUGGAGAGGGUAGCGGAAUUCCCGGUGUAGCGGUGAAAUGCGUAGAGACCGGGAAGAACACCAGUGGCGAAGGCGGCUACCUGGACAGGUACUGACGCUAACAGCGCGAAAGCUAGGGGAGCAAACAGGAUUAGAUACCCUGGUAGUCCUAGCUGUAAACGAUGGGCACUUGGUGUUGCGGGUAUCGACCCCUGCAGUGCCGAAGCUAACGCAUUAAGUGCCCCGCCUGGGGAGUACGGUCGCAAGGCUG